AGUGAACGCUGGCGGCGUGCCUAACACAUGCAAGUCGAACGAUGAUGGAUGAGCUUGCUCAUCCUGAUUAGUGGCGCACGGGUGAGUAUACCAUAGAUAAUGUACCCCUUAGUUCGGGAUAGCCACUGGAAACGGUGAUUAAUACCGGAUACUCCUUCUUGCCAUAAGGUAAGUCGGGAAAGUUUUUUCGCUAAGGGAUCAGUCUAUGUCCUAUCAGGUAGUUGGUGAGGUAACGGCUCACCAAGCCUAUGACGGGUAUCUGGUUUGGGAGGAUGAUAAGACACACCGGAACUGAGACACGGUCCAGACGCCUACGGGAGGCAGCAGUGAGGAAUAUUGCACAAUGGAGGAAACUCUGAUGCAGCAACGCCGCGUGGAGGAUGACGCAUUUCGGUGUGUAAACUCCUUUUAAGAGGGAAGAUUAUGACGGUACCUCUUGAAUAAGCACCGGCUAACUCCGUGCCAGCAGCCGCCGUAAUAC
rnacentral:rRNA from 1 species